CAAGAAGCAGCAGUUUUGCCUUAGCUAGUCCUUACUCUGAGUACAGCGAGCACGCCUCCGGGACGUAGGAGCUGCAGACAGCGCUCGUAGUAGGCGGUACAGUUCUCUUUGUCCGCGUCCACCACGGCUAUGUCGAAGGUUCCGGCCUCGCCCGCCGCUAGGAGCUCAUCUUAACAGGGACAGAGGGCAUGUGCCGCUGGCUGAGCUAGGGUCUCAGCGGGCUGCUCAGGGUCGCCAGUUUUGUUCCCCGGGGUUGGACAGUGCUGUCUGGGUCCCUCCCGCACUGGUGCUCACCCAAUGUCUGCAGGGCGGGCUGCAGCCGAAGGUCGAUCUUCUGCUCCACUUCUGCCUGCGGAAGGAGGCCGGUCAGGCCGGCACGCCCCCGAGCCGGAGCCCGAACGGCCGCAGGUGUGGGGCUCUCACCUGCUUCCACAUGGGCCGUCCCAGCUUCGGGGGCUCUGCGUCAACCUCGCAGGUCACCACGCGGCCAGCCUCCGGAAGCGCCAAGGCUAGGGCCAGGGCCGAGUAGCCCGUGAAAGUACCUGUGGAAGGGGACACUGUCAAGCUCAGUUCAGGGUGCAGGGCUGCCCUGUGACCCUGGUUUCCAGAGACCAUGGCUGCGUGUUCCUACCCAGAUCCAGAGCUUUCUUGGCCUUAAUGAGCCGCGCCAGGUUGGCCAGAAGCUGGGCCUGUUCACAGGUCAUCAUGGAAUCCCCCUGCGGCUGCUCCAGGGUCAGCUGUGUGGGGAGAGGGAGGUGCCAUUCAUACCAGUCACCCCCCCCACCUCCCCCCUGAGGUUUUGAAUCAUUCAGGGGCUCGGUGGCGGGUGUGGCCUAGAGGGGACAGGUCUCAGGGAACCCGGAAGCCCAGAGAGGGUUUCUGCCUAGCUCAAGGUCACACAGCCACGUGAGGUCCACCACGCUGGAAGUGGGGAGCCGGUUCUCGGUCCCAGUCCUACUGACCAGUCGCAGGCUCCGCAGCGCCGGGUGCUCUCUCAUGGAGCGGCUCAGCAGAUACUGCCACAGGGGAUUGUCCUCAGGUGGCAGCAGGCGCUCUUGCCGCCUGGACCCCCAUGGAGGCCACCGUUUCCCUGCCGGGGAGAGGGUGCCGAGUCAGGGCCUGCAUUUCUGACCGGGUUCUCCGGCUCUUCUCCGCGCCCUCCUCCCAUUCCCCGGACUGCAGCAGCCCAGCCCAGCUCACCCAGCAAGAGACCAGUAGCGAAGGCGGCGCCCAGCGCGGCCGAGCCCAGGGCCAGUGCGGCUGGGAUAGAUAGCCGAGGGACGGGCUGAGCCAUGGUGCAGGUUAGCAGCGGCGGCGGAGGUCACGUGUGCUGGAGUAGCGAGGAUGGGACUGGGACCAGUAAGCCGACAGGGCUCCACCUUGUCCGGGCCCUGCCCACAGAGCCGCGUCCUCGGGCACCAUCUGGUGACACAUGGCCGUAUUGCAAGGUCAGGCUGAGAACAUCUCGCCACCCGGUGGCUGCAUGCGGAACUGCGUCGGGGGAAAUCCUUUCUAGACUUCGCUCACAGGAGACUCUGCUGACCUGCCCUCAGGGACCUAGCAAUUGCUUAAGGCAUCACCUGCCCCGCCCCCCACGUACGACAGGUAAGGCCCGAAGAAAUGUGAGUUCCUUUAGGGCUGAGCACACAGCAGGCACUAAAUACGUGCUGGCGGGGCCACACUGCGGCCAGUGAUAACAACGGGGCCACACUGCGGCCAGUGAUAACAACGUGACAACCGGAAGCUGUUACUUAGCACCUGCUGGGUACCAGGUGCUCAACACCCAGCCAUCCCUUGAAGCAGCGGUGUUGUUCCAAUUUUCAAGAGAAGGAAAGUCCUGAAUUGAUCAUCUCUCCGAGCUCACUGCCUAGCGCCUUGCCCUCCUAAAUUUCCACCGUCUUUAUCAGUACCUCCCUGGGACGCACACAGAGGGAAGAGGCAGCCGUGUCCCCGCUAGGCCUCUUCAGCGGGCUUGUGGCACCGAGUCCUUGUCCUUAGCCGGAGCCCUCUUCCCCAUAUCUGGGGACCGGGAUGGCUUGCAAGUUCUCAGUGCAUCUCACAGCCUUCCUCCUGCAACCUGGCUCCAGGCAGGAGCGGUGGAGGUGGGGGAAGCGGGCGAGGAGGGAGCCAUGUCACCAUAUAUCCCAGUCAGAUUAAAAAACUAAUUUGAAAGGAAGACGCAGGCAGAGGCCAGCAUCAUCUCAGCGUGGAGAGAGGAGCUGCGGGGAGGCUUCAAUGCUACUGCGCUAAGCCCCCCAGGAAGUAUUGCCCACUCAAAGUGCCCACCCAAAACCAGCCACUCUAGGGGUGGCUGCAACUUGGCACCGGAAUGAGCCAGUCUAGAAAGAGGAGCAUGCACGCCCCCUGCUGGCAACUGCUCCAGUUACGGUUUUCCUUUUCCUUUUUCUUCUCUAGUCCUGAUUGUCCCCUUCUACCCUCUCUCAUCUCUCAUCUGAGACAGGGUUUUACUGUGUAAUCCAGGUUAGCCUCGAAUUCACAGAGAGCCACCUGCUUCUGCUUCCUGCUUACAGUGUGUGCCACCACGCCGGCAAGGGUCCUUGAUAUUUCUUUUUCCCUUGCAGAGAAAGCUGCUUCUACCCUAGCUGGACCUCACAAUAUCCCUGGCAAGGUUUCUGAAGUGGAACUUCACAGCGGUCCAGGGAAUCCUGCCAGGUGUGUAAACAGGACAAAGCAGUUAAUACUUACCGCGUCCCCAUCACUCCUUAGGAUUUCCUAUUGGCCCCUUUAAUCCUCAUACCGUUAGUCUACAGGGACAGGUACCAUUUUAGCCCCAUCUCAUAGAUGUGAGAGCCGAAACACAGACGGGUAAAGCAGCUUGUCCCACAUUGCACAGCGUAUAAGUAGCAGAGUAAGGAUUUGAACUCAGAUGUUUUAGUUUCAGGACUUAACAAUUUUUUAAGGACCACACUAUCCUGCAGGAAAUGCCUUCCUCAUCACGUGGCUUCUCUUUGGGGCAAGAUAGCUGCUUGAGCUCCGGCCAUUACAAAUUAUCUUCCUCAGAUAAUCAGGAAAUAGGAAGGGACAAAACGGGACUCACUUCCUUCUUUUCAUAAACAGAACAACAUUCUGAAGGGUCCCUAUAGACCUCUACUAUUCCUCUUCUGACCACAGCCACAUGGUCAUACUUCUGCCAACAAAUUGUUUUUAUGUUUGUAAUUAUGACAAAUCACUUGCAAAGUUAAAGGAAAGAAUAGUUACUGGGAACAUCUAGCAUACACACACACACACACACACACACACACACACACACAAAGAUACUGAAGACUCAGAAAGGCCAGUAAUUAUCUGAAGGUCACAAAGCUGGGAAAGGGUGGAGGUUAGAUGUGUUGUUCCUGGAUGAAACAGGUAUCGCCCCAGAGACAUGCUCAGUGGAGUGCUCAGAGGGAAGGACCUCUCAUUAGACUUCCCGACCUCUAGGACCACCCAGGGCCACUGGUCAGAUCUCCAGUGUCUUCCAGUCCCAGCCACCUCUCUGGCCCAGAACCAGUAUCAUGGUACCAGGCAUGGCCAGCACCGACUUCAUCCAUCCCACUAAAGCCCACAUCAGCUGUGCUCCCUGAAUUUCUGUGGCUGACUCCUGAGAACUGAAUAAUUCAAGCCUAUGUAAUGGGCUAAUGAAUUUACUGACAAGCCAACGUGGUCGCAGUACUUGCAGUAUAGAAAUACUGAGUCCCAGGCAGGCAGGCAGGCAGGCAGGCAGGCCUAACAUGAAGCUGUUGCCCCAGCCCUCCCUAGGGAACUUGGCCUGAUGGAGUAGAAAGCCCACGUCAGCCUCACUGGUUCUUCCUCCUGCUGAGGAGCAUGGUCAGGGGAAGAGGGCUGGUGGGACUUUUGAUGGGAAGUAGAACCCGAUAGAGCAGCAGACGUGGGUAGGAACACCCAACCCCUUCCCCACGUGCCCAAGUACCACGGUUCUUUAUGAGGUAAAUCAGGUUGAGGCACUGUAGCCCUGUCGCUGUUCUGUGUUGGGAAUUUUGGGGUGGCUGUGAGCCCCUGGGGAGGAGACCAGCUUCCUUCCUCCUAACUUGCUCACCUGUAGAAGGUUCCUGCCGAUGGCUUGCACAAGUCCCUCCCUGGAGAUAACCAACUACAACCCCUCUCAACCCUGGCAGACAUGACUGGAGAGGGGUUGGAAUGGCUGAGGGGCAGGUCUCUAGCCUGGAGUAGAAUUGAGUCCUGUGAAGCUCUUCAGCUGUGAGACCCCCCGCCCUCCUGUGUUCAGGCUCACCCCUCCCUCUCUGCCUCCUGCCUGGAGAGCUGCAUUGCACAAAGACACUUACUUUCCCUUGGCCCUGGCUCUGCUAUGUGUCAGGAAGUCUUGUCAGCAAUGGGCCUCAGUUUCCCAUCUGUAUGCUGGUGAGAGGAGGCUCUCAGAGUCUCUUCUGACUCAAAAGAAAUGACCCGAGGGGCAGGAAGCUCUCUCUGACCCUGCCCAGCCCUGCAUCACUCCCUCUCAGGCCUCUUCCUGGGAACUCCAGAGACGCCUCAUUGCUCCCUGCCUGUCAGCAGUGUGACAGACGAGGGGCCAGGAGAAGAUUCCACAAAGGCACAGAUCUGAGGGAGCCACAGCUGAGGUUUGUAGGGGGCAGUAGCCUUGUUACACACUCUAGCCCCAAGCCCCUGGAGAUUAUUGCUGUACUUGUGUGGGGAGCCUUCUCUGAGAGACUAGGGACUCUGGAUAAGGAGAGGGCAUGUGGGCCUUUGACUCGGGAUGGAAGUAAUGGCUUUGUCAGGCACAGAGGCCUAGCUUGCCCCUCUGUCACCGUUGAGCAGAGGCAGAGGUAGGCCAGGGCUGACCAGCUCAGGCAUUAUCUGUGCCCAGGUCCAGGGCAGUACCUCAUGAUUUUGGAACCGUGAAAGGCAGCCUGUUUUCUGGUGGAGCUAGGUUUAAACCCUGGGAGACCUAGCAGGUGUUCCUGCAAGGUACAGGAGUUUGCCACGCCCCUAGGCACUAGGCUCCUGACACACAGGAGCCCUCAGCUCUCCAUAAUUCUGUGACCAUCAGUCAUGUAGGGCAAUGCCCCAAGCGCCUCCACAGGUAGAGGAUGUGACUACAGAUCACAGAGUCUCAAGACAGAUCUCCAUUUUAAUGAGGUACCUAAAGGGCUGAAGGGCUUAGCCAAUUAAACUCUCCUUCCCAGACACUCCUCCCUGCAAAAGGUAUUUAACCUCAGGCCUGCCCUGAGAAAGUGGGGUAUGAUUUCACUCAUCACAACUCUCGGCCAUGACAAUAAACGCUUUA
rnacentral:lncRNA from 1 species